ACUGGCGCUUUAUAAUCGAAGAGUGAUUUUUAUAUGCUCUUUGAUUGUAAAGGGCUAUAGCG
rnacentral:pre_miRNA from 1 species